UACGGGGGGAGCAAGCGUUGUUCGGAUUUACUGAGCGUAAAGGGCGCGUAGGCGGCCACCGCAAGUCGGUUGUGAAAUCUCUGGGCUUAACCCAGAAAGGUCAACCGAUACUGCGGGGCUAGAGUGCAGAAGGGGCAACUGGAAUUCUCGGUGUAGCGGUGAAAUGCGUAGAUAUCGAGAGGAACACCUGCGGCGAAGGCGGGUUGCUGGGCUGACACGUGACGCUGAAGCGCGAAAGCUAGGGGAGCGAACAGG
rnacentral:rRNA from 1 species